CUCGGAGUUUGAUCCUGGCUCAGGAUGAACGCUAGCGGCAGGCUUAACACAUGCAAGUCGAGGGGUAUAGUUCUUCGGAGCUAGAGACCGGCGCACGGGUGCGUAACGCGUAUGCAAUCUACCUUUUACAGAGGGAUAGCCCAGAGAAAUUUGGAUUAAUACCUCAUAGUAUGUGAGAAUCGCAUGGUUUUCACAUUAAAGUUCCAACGGUAAAAGAUGAGCAUGCGUCCCAUUAGCUAGAUGGUAAGGUAACGGCUUACCAUGGCGACGAUGGGUAGGGGUCCUGAGAGGGAGAUCCCCCGACACUGGUACUGAGACACGGACCAGACUCCUACGGGGAGGCAGCAGUGAGGAAUAUUGGACAAUGGGGCGCAAGCCUGAUCCCAGCCAUGCCGCGUGCAGGAUGACGGUCCUAUGGAUUGUAAACUGC
rnacentral:rRNA from 1 species